GACGAACGCUGGCGGCGUGCCUAACACAUGCAAGUCGAACGGAAAGGCCCUGCUUUUGUGGGGUGCUCGAGUGGCGAACGGGUGAGUAACACGUGAGUAACCUGCCCUUGACUUUGGGAUAACUUCAGGAAACUGGGGCUAAUAUCGGGUAGGAGCUGCUGCUGCAUGGUGGGGGUUGGAAAGUUUCGGCGGUUGGGGCUGGACUCGCGGCUUAUCAGCUGGUUGGUGGGGUAGUGGCUUACCAAGGCUUUGACGGGUAGCCGGCCUGAGAGGGUGACCGGCCACAUUGGGACUGAGAUACGGCCCAGACUCCUACGGGAGGCAGCAGUGGGGAAUAUUGCACAAUGGGCGGAAGCCUGAUGCAGCAACGCCGCGUGCGGGAUGACGGCCUUCGGGUUGUAAACCGCUUUCGCCUGUGACGAAGCGUGAGUGACGGUAAUGGGUAAAGAAGCACCGGCUAACUACGUG
rnacentral:rRNA from 1 species